rnacentral:lncRNA from 1 species
UGUCGCUUCUGCAAUCUGUCUGGUCUGCAGGCUUAAAGAACAGAAGACCUUCAGGAAACCCGAGCUUCUGAGAGCGAGAUCUGCUUUGGUGGAAAGAAGAUGAGCAACUUUUGAGCAUCUGUAACGCCCAGCUGCUCCCUGGCACUGGGAAGAAACAGUCACAUCACACUGCACAUGUCCAAAAUGGAGCUGAGGACUUUCCUUUGACCCCGGUGCCCCAUCCGAGCUCUCCAUCCUGGUACUCACAGCACCAUCCCCUGUCUGUUCGUGCCUGAAAUAGCACUUAUUUCGCUUCCCCGGUAGCCUGGAGAGCACCACGGGAAAGCGUCGGCUGCCUGAGAGCACAGUGGGUUGGUCUGCACUUUGGCUGAAGGAGGAAACGUGAAUCGGAGAGCUGACUGGUGUUUCCACCAACGUCUCUGUGGAACCUGGUCUGAAGGGCUCUGUCAUCGGCCCAUCGCUGAAAAACUCGCUCAUCAAUGACUUGUCUGACAAUAUAAUAAUAUGAAUCUGACCUCUGGAGUUGGCAGGAAGCUAACGGAUAAGACACAUAUAUGAGAUGAUGCGGUAGGUUCCUCAAAAGAUCUGGACAGGAAAGGUGAUGGAAAUCGAACACGUGAAGUUUAACAGAGGCCACAGAAGUUUUGCGCCUCCUCCCACGGAAACCAAAUAGAGGUCUAAGGUGGGCAUAUGAAACGUUACAGUCGUCGGUCUGCAGAAGAAGGGAGGCUAUUUCCUGAGCCCCCAUUAGCUCUGGCCUGGACCACUUCAGCCACCUCCCAACUUUCACGUGCAUUAUUCUUCUAAUUAGUUCAGUAUUAUAGGGACGUGAAGGAGCUUCUCAAAAUGUGUAUCUUAAGAAACUUAUCCUCAAACAUGUUUUCUUUACUCUUAGCUUCGUUCUAAAGUCUUCAACAUGCCUUCCAAGGUCUCCGUGACAUAUUUCUCCUUACCCUUCCAGCCUCACCUCUGCACCACUCCCUCUCUGGGCCAUUUCGUGCUUGACUGAAGAGACUGUGGUUGUAUUUCUCAGUUACUCAACUCUCUCUCCCUCCACUCUGCUGAACAGCACCCAUGAAUAUUUCGGAGCUUAUCGAAAUGUCAGUUUCUCAGAGAACCAUUACUAGCUUGGGUCCUUUUGCAUCCUUAAUAUUCUGUAACCUCUUUCAGAAGAAAUACACACAGAGUAUGUUGAUUUACUCUGUCUCUCCACGUAGACCACCUAAAAUCUUCGUGGGAUCGAGAACCACGUACAUCUGUUUCUUGUGUCUUGCCUAGUGAAGACGCCAGUGUAUUUAUGGAGUAAAUGUAUUAACAAAUCACACUUUAAGAUGUCCCUACCAUUCAGCGUUAAUGGCGUAGUAGAGCUUGAAGUGGGUAAGGUACUCCUUGGUUUUCAACAAAGUUCGAAGGGCAAGACGUCAAUAAAUAGAAAAACAUUGACUGCUUCUAAGUGAAGAAGACCUUGCAAAUAGAUGCCAUAUUUAUGUGAGCAUUGAUUUGCUUGGUGAGUUAUGGAGCACCUAUAGCCUUAUUACGCAGAUUGCGGUCCACGAACCUGCAGCCUCAGCAGCACAUGGACAGUCGUAAGAAAUGCAGACUCUUGAGUCUCCUCCCAAACCUGCUGAAUCACAAUCUGCAUUUUAACAAGGUCCCCAGGUGAUUACAAGCACAUUAAAAAUUUAGAAGUAUUGAUCCAUAGUAUCUUUAUAUUUAUGCUAUUAGCUAUUGAAAAUUAUUAUUUAAAAAUUUUCAACACAGUCACGCACCGCUCAGUGAUGGGGUACACUCUGGGAAAUGCAUUGUUAGGUGCUUUCAUCAUUGCGGGAACAGUCAUAGAGUGCACUUACACAGACCUAUAUGGUGUAGCCUACUACACAUCUGGGCUGUGUGCUACUAAUCUCAAGGGACCACUGUUGUGUAUGAGGUCCGUCGCUGACCGAAAUGUGAUGUGGUGCAUAACAGUGUAACAGAUAGAGCGCAUCACUGGGAGACAAUAAACUGAAUAACUGAUGGUUGGUUUCCAUCACCCUCCAAUGGGCAUCCCUUAUAAGGAAAUGUACAGACCACAUUUGGCCAUUCUCAAGAUCAGGGCACAAUCAGGAUUUUUCUCUACCAAACAAACAAACAAACAAAACCUUUCAAAGUCGAAUCAGCAGAGAAAGCAGAUGGCAAACAACCUCACAGUUUAAAAUUCCUUCUGCAAGCCCGUGAUGUAUUACAAGCAGCUAGUCUGUAGCCUGCUGUUUGGAAUAUACCUUCGAAACAGACGUUUCUGAAAACCGUGUCAUUUCAGUGACCGAGUUGCUGCGUGCCACCGCAGUCACUGAGACCGACUUCUAAUUAUUUUGGCUUCCUUCCUGUAAAUUACCAGAGAAAAGUCUAACUCCCCAUAUGGUUUGCUGAUACACUAAUAGUCACAAACCAUCUUCAGGUGCAGUUAAUCUCUAGUCAGGUGCUCCGUAUACUGGAGCAACCACUGGUUAAUUUUGUUAGCCAGGAAGAAUUCUACUGUGAAUAAUCUUAUUUGCCUCGUGUGAACGUUCAUCCACGAAUGCAUAUCACAGAGAACACAUUUUAAGUGCUGGCUCCCCAUGAACCUCAUCCCAACACUGGCGAUGGAACUCCGCCAGAGGUCCAGGACUUUGGUCCGAGUUAGUAAUCUGGGACGAGGGGCUUCUUUUUCCCCUGCCAUGUUUCUGCUGCUGUUUUAUUAAGCGUUGCAGAGUGUCCUGUCAACCUCACCCAGAAAGACAUCGCUCUCUCUCCAGAAGUCUUGGAAUCUAAGCCCGUCUGACAGUACAACUCCGACGUGUUUCUAAUAAUCGUUUAGAAGCUCUGUGACAGAAUUCUUUUUCCAUCUGUCAAGAACGAUACACAGGCAUUUUGAUCACUGUCACAAUUUAGAGAGCAGGAAGCUGACAAGAUGUUUCCAAGCGAGCUCUGCCAGGUGUUGGCACAUUCGGGGAGUCACCAUGGAGACAAGUUCUGCUCCUCAAUUUGCUGUGAGUUCCUUGAAAGAAGAGACCGUUUGUGUCUGGUUUGCCUAGCACAGUGACCAGGAUAGAAGAGAUGCUCAAAAAAAAAUUUCUUGAAUGAGUGAAGCAGUGUUAUUUACAGCAGAGAUGGCAGUAAGAAGUCAAGAAAUCAUCCAGAGGAAGAGAAGAAAUCUCGACUUAAAAUCAAGUUUGCUUAAUUUUGAAAUGGAAAUGGGAAAAAUGCCUACAGGGGUUUUAAUCACCCAAAACAACAGAAGUCAAGUCACAGUUCAGCAUAUGGGCAAAGGAGGACACGGUCCCACUGAAUAAACUGAAGGGGUGAUGUUCAAGAGGCUCUCUACUACAAGUAUGAAAU